AGCUGAUAUCAGGCACGCCCAAGACAUCUAGCCAANCCACACCCANAAGGGACCUCAGCAGUGAUUAAUAUUAAAAAUAAACGUAAGUUUGAUUUAGCCAAUGAAAACAGAGCCGGCCAAUCUGGUGCCAGCCGCCGCGGUUACACCACAAGGCUCAAGUUGAUUCGGCGUAAAGCGUGAUUAAAGUGGGAUUAAACCUGAACUAAACUGUAGCACGUUUGUUCCAAAGAAAACCACACCUCGAAAGAUAUCCCAUAACAAACUUGAACUCACGACAACUAAGACACAAACUGGGAUUAGAUACCCCACUAUGCCUAGUCGUAAACUUUAAAUUACACCGCCAGGAAACUACGAGCAAAGCUUAAAAUCCAAAGGACUUGACGGUACCCCACAUCCCCCUAGAGGAGCCUGUCCUAUAAUCGAUACCCCGCGUUUAACCUCACCAUUUUUAGCAGCCUGUAUACUUCCGCCGCCAGCUUACCGCAUGAGCGAGUAAGCUUAAUGUCAAAACGUCAGGUCAAAGUGCAGCAAAUAAAAUGGAAAGAGAUGGGCUACACUUUCUACUAUAGAAAAUACGAUAAGACUAUGUGAAAUAGAAGGUGGAUUUAGUAGUAAGAGGGGAAUAGAACGCCCCCCUUAACUCGGCACUGGGGUGUGUACACACCGCCCGUCACCCUCUUC
rnacentral:rRNA from 1 species